CCUACGGGAGGCUGCAGUGGGGAAUAUUGGGCAAUGGGCGCAAGCCUGACCCAGCAACGCCGCGUGAAGGAAGAAGGCUUUCGGGUUGUAAACUUCUUUUGUCAGGGACGAAGCACGUGACGGUCCCUGACGAAUAAGCCACGGCUAACUACGUGCCAGCAGCCGCGGUAAUACGUAGGGGGCAAGCGUUAUCCGGAUUUACUGGGUGUAAAGGGCGUGGAGGCGGGACUGCAAGUCUGAUGUGAAAAGCACGGGCUCAACCCCUGGACUGCAUUGGAAACUGUAGGGCUGGAGUACAGGAGAGGCAAGCGGAAUUCCUAGUGUAGCGGUGAAAUGCGUAGAUAUUAGGAGGAACACCAGUGGCGAAGGCGGUCUACUGGACAGUAACUGACGCUGAGGCGCGAAAGCGUGGGGAGCAAACAGGAUUAGAUACCCGUGUAGUC
rnacentral:rRNA from 1 species